rnacentral:lncRNA from 1 species
GACUGACCACAGAGAGGACAUCAGUGAAUGUGUCUGACUGUGGUUCCCCCAGAUGAGGUCUUUGUCCUUAAUGUACCUGGAUCUGCCAGGGUUGCCAUAGUAACCACAAAUGUAGGGAUACAUGGUCUCUGUUGUCAUGGAAACAAACACUUGCAUGUCCCUCAGUGGCACGGCUACAGAGAACUUGAGGAUUCAGUCUGCUCUGAAGGGUUUGGGAGGGAGACUGUGACCAGCAGAGAGGGUUUCCAUAUCAUAAUGAAUCAGUGAUGGCAGCUGUUAGCUUGACUGUUGCCACGGUGAUGGAGAAAGACACUGAGGUGACUGGUGCUAGCUUCAGUACUGAGCUGGUGAGAUAAAGCGCUGCAACCGGCUUUGUGUACAGCCUGGACAGGACCAGACCUCAAACUCACCCCAUCCUCUGGCAGCCAUGGGGACAAGGACCUCUUUGCUUGCUCUUUGGGUUUGCACCCUUUUGCCAAGACAGGGAUUUUGUUCCCAGGAGGCACUCCCCGGCCCAUGGGAUCUCAGCAUUCAAAGCAACACAGGAAACCUGGGCCCCUGAAACGGGGCCACCGAAGAGAUCGAGCCAGCACCUGCCGGAAGUCCCUCCAUCUGAUCCCACUUAACUCCCACCGGAAGCAGCUAGGGCUGAGGCCCUGGAGGAGGCCUUGAUGAGCGCACGGUCUGGCCAGGCCAGGGUCAGGAAUGACGAGGUGAAGUACAAGGCUGUGGAGUCACCCCUGCUUUUUGUCCUCAGGAGAACAACCAGGAGGAAGUACUGGAAGGAAGGAAGGGAGAUCGCUCGGCCGGGGGACUCAAGCACCAAUGUGAAGCUGAAGAGAGUCGUGGAGACGGGGGGCAGUGAGACCGAGUCUGCCCAGGCCACGCCCGUGGCCGGGGUGUGGCCCUGGCCCUGGGGAGGGUCACUGUUUGAGAGGAGGACGCAGCUUUAUAAAAUGA